rnacentral:rRNA from 1 species
AUAUUAAGUUGUUGCGGUUAAAAGCUCGUAGUUGGAGUUCUGCCAGGUGACGCUCGUCCGCCCAAGUGGUGUGUACAGGGCGUGCAUCUGGCCCCUUCAAGGGGAACGUGUUGCACUUUAUUGUGUGGCGCGAGAUCCUUGACUUUUACUUUGAGGAAAUAAGAGUGUUCCAAGCAGGCUCUCGUCGUGCAUAGCUCAGCAUGGAAUAAUAGCAUUGGACUUCGUUUCUACGCUGUUGGUUGCAAGAAGCGAGGUAAUGAUGAAGAGGGAUAGUUGGGGGCAUUCGUAUUUAACUGUCAGAGGUGAAAUUCUUGUAUUUGUUAAAGACGGACUACUGCGAAAGCAUCUGCCAUGGAUGUUUUCAUUGAUCAAGAACGAAAGUUAGGGGAUCGAAGACGAUCAGAUACCGUCCUAGUCUUAACUAUAAACCAUACCGGCUAGAGAUCGGAGGUCGUUCAAUUUGUGACACCUUCAGCAUCUUGAGAGAAAUCAAAGCCUUUGGGUUCCGGGGGGAGUAUGGUCGCAAGGCUGAAACUUAAAGGAAUUGACGGAAGGGCACCACCAGGAGUGGAGCCUGCGGC